rnacentral:lncRNA from 1 species
GGCAAUUUAAUGUUUAACAUUUGUUUUACAUGCUUAUUGGCUGAUGUAUUCUAAUAAGACCAUACAUGGCAUACCAAUCAGCAGGGCUGAGGAACAUGUACUCUUCCCACACAUUCCAUCUCUCUAUCUGUUAAGGAUAAGGUAGAGUAAGGGCCAAAUGCCAGAAACUUUUUCUGGGCUAUGGUCCUAAUUGGCUUUUGUGAGAUAUCAUUAUGAUUAACUUAUUGUUAGGUUUUUUGCCAGUUUGUGGCCCAUUAAAAUAACACAACUCACUAGAGUCCUUAGGCACAUCCAACCAAAUCACUUUGUCACAACUGAGACCAGAAUCUCACUGGCAAUCCCCAACCUAUUUUGAACACUCUCUGCAUCAAAUUACUCAUCAAUACUGAUACUCUUAGUUUUCCCACUUAAUAUAAUACCUCCAAAUUAAGUAGAACUGAGAGGAACAACAUUUUACUAUUGAAUC